GACGAACGCUGGCGGCGUGCCUAAUACAUGCAAGUCGAGCGAGCGGAACUAACAGAUUUACUUCGGUAAUGACGUUAGGAAAGCGAGCGGCGGAUGGGUGAGUAACACGUGGGGAACCUGCCCCAUAGUCUGGGAUACCACUUGGAAACAGGUGCUAAUACCGGAUAAGAAAGCAGAUCGCAUGGUCAGCUUUUAAAAGGCGGCGUAAGCUGUCGCUAUGGGAUGGCCCCGCGGUGCAUUAGCUAGUUGGUAAGGUAAAGGCUUACCAAGGCGAUGAUGCAUAGCCGAGUUGAGAGACUGAUCGGCCACAUUGGAACUGAGACACGGCCCAAACUCCUACGGGAGGCAGCAGUAGGGAAUCUUCCACAAUGGACGCAAGUCUGAUGGAGCAACGCCGCGUGAGUGAAGAAGGUUUUCGGAUCGUAAAGCUCUGUUGUUGGUGAAGAAGGAUAGAGGUAGUAACUGGCCUUUAUUUGACGGUAAUCAACCAGAAAGUCACGGCUAACUACGUG
rnacentral:rRNA from 1 species